CGUUGUUCGGAAUUAUUGGGCGUAAAGGGCAUGUAGGCGGUUAUGUAAGCCUGAUGUGAAAUCUACGAGCUUAACUCGUAAACUGCAUUGGGUACUGCGUAACUUGAAUCACGGAGGGGAAACCGGAAUUCCAAGUGUAGGGGUGGAAUCUGUAGAUAUUUGGAAGAACACCGGUGGCGAAGGCGGGUUUCUGGCCGAUGAUUGACGCUGAUAUGCGAAGGUGCGGGGAGCAAACAGGAUUAGAUACCCUGGUAGUCCGCACAGUAAACUAUGUACACUAGGCGUUGGAGCAAGAUCUUCAGUGCCGACGCAAACGCAUUAAGUGUACCGCCUGGGAAGUAUGCCCGCAAGGGUGAAACUCAAAGGAAUUGACGGGGGCCCACACAAGCGGUGGAGCAUGUGGUUUAAUUCGAUGAUACGCGAGGAACCUUACCUGGGU
rnacentral:rRNA from 1 species